UUUAUGGAGAGUUUGAUCCUGGCUCAGGAUGAACGCUGGCGGCGUGCCUAAUACAUGCAAGUCGAGCGAACGGACGAGAAGCUUGCUUCUCUGAUGUUAGCGGCGGACGGGUGAGUAACACGUGGAUAACCUACCUAUAAGACUGGGAUAACUUCGGGAAACCGGAGCUAAUACCGGAUGAUAUUUUGAACCGCAUGGUUCAAAAGUGAAAGACGGUCUUGCUGUCACUUAUAGAUGGAUCCGCGCUGCAUUAGCUAGUUGGUAAGGUAACGGCUUACCAAGGCAACGAUGCAUAGCCGACCUGAGAGGGUGAUCGGCCACACUGGAACUGAGACACGGUCCAGACUCCUACGGGAGGCAGCAGUAGGGAAUCUUCCGCAAUGGGCGAAAGC
rnacentral:rRNA from 1 species